GUGGGGGAGGAUGAGAAGAGGCUAAAUAUAGCCAUGGAAAAAACAACCAGCAGACUAGAAAGCACCUUCAGGCUUAACAUCAACAGUGAGAGGCUGUCAUUUCCCAGGAUUCCUCAGCCAUGCUCCGGAGAUACCUGUUUGAAAUCGGACUUCAGGCAAGCUGGUUCCUUCUCGUGUGGCUAAGACGAUGCAGCCAACUCACCCUGUUUAUGGAACGAGUUGCUGAUCCCAGCCCUGCCACUCUGUUCUUGUUGGCACGGCUGCUGCUAGUGAAGAUGGAGAGAGCCCCCCAAGGAAUGUCAUUUUCAAAAUGGUGCAGAACUGCUUCCCGCAAGGCCUGACAUCCUCCUCAUUGUGGUUUCUAAACUAGAGCCUUAUAUCAUGAUUAGCAAACACCCCUGGUCUGGGGGUCAGUGAAUCUUCGUGGGGAUCUGCAGAAGGUGCAGCUGUUGGAAACUCCCCGGCUGCUUCACAGUCGUGAGGUGAGCUGGCAGGCUGAUCUCCCUCUUCUCUGUAGCACAUGCUGUUCCAUCCUUAUAAUUAUUACCAAUUUAGAGGACUGAUGGAAAGAACAGAAGGGGAAAGGAACAGUCCCAAGGAGUGUAAAAGGAGUAUAAAAAUAUCAUUUGUGUAUUAUUGUUGGAAACUUGUCACCGCAUCUAUGAAGCUGAGGAGUGUAACCGGCAUUGGAACAGAGUGUUGGGGUCCCAGAGGAGGAAUGAGAAGGACCGACAUACUCUACUUAGCUGCUGCUGUGGUGUUCCGCAUCGGGUGGCCAAUCCUGGCUGAAGAGGGGAUAUCUGGAUGCUGCUGACAUGCAAUGCAAGGCUGGGCUCUUCAAGAGGCCCUGCCGGGGCUUUAGUUGCACAGGCCUCUGACAUUUGGUCUCACAGUUUCCCAUCUGUUUUGGAAUCCCUUAAUGGUCUCCCCCAGUUUCGUUUUAUUAGGUUAGUCAGAGUUGACUCUUACUGCUUGAGGACAAGAACCUUGACUGACACAGCAGGCAUUCAUAUUGGAGACCACACCACAGGAGAUGCUGGGUUAAAGAAAAAAUACUCAUAUCAUUGCCACAGUCACUUGUGAUCAUCUUCUGUAACUUUGCCUUUGUACACAGUGAUGAGAGUCCUCAUUGCGCCCAUGGCAUUGAUUUAUUCCAACCUGGAAUGGAUGUGUUUAUUGGGCCAAACGUGAGAAUUUAAAAAGUAAUGUCAGAAGGGUAUCCCUGUCUUUACUUCUCUCAUUUUCUGAUCUUGGUAUAUGAAAGACGAGCUGGUUUUCUGUUGAACUGCUCCCAAGCAUGAUUCCAUUCCACAGGAAGUCUACUUUUACAAGAAUAUCCCAAAUAUAUCUGUUUUUCUUUCAGGAGCUUCUGCAAACAUAGUAUUACACCAGGAAGUGUGCCAGCAGUGCUUUUAAAAACAGUCUGGAUACACCCAAGAGUCUUAAAAGUAAUUUCACAUUUAAAUAAAAUUAAAUAGAAUUUUGCUACUCAA